ACGCACCCCACGUGGAAAUCGACGGAUGGGGCCAAGCGGGGAAGCCCUGCAGGGGUGGCCCCAGGCUGACCUACAGGGGUUCUGCGAGCUGAAGCCCGUGCACACGGAAUGAGCCCGCUUCCACGUUACAGGAACAGCCCCUGGGGGGCCCAGGAGGUUUCUGUGCGGGGGGUCCGCGUGGCAUUGGUUCGAAACGAUAAAUGAUCAACAAAUAUUUGUCAAGUGAUCACCCUGCCCCAAGCUCCGGGCUAGGACCUUAGUUAGAAGGCUGGACGCUUCUUCCCAACAAGACCAGAUGGUCUUCUGACCCCGAUGAAGCUGGAAGCCGAAGAGAAAACAGGCAAUGACCUAAUAAUUACACCAAAUGUGACAGUCACCGGGUUCUUGGAGGUCAGAGUGGAUGGUUCAGAAUUACAGUCGCAGAGUCAGCCUGUCUCGCUCAGACCCCAGGCCCAGUUCCCAUCAGCUGUGUUGCCCAAAUGCCCUGGACGGCAGAUGUGUUGUGUGGAGAACAGAGAAGCAAAACUGAAAAGAACCUCUGGGAGUUUAGACAACUGUUUGAGGACAUACAGCUAGAUGAUAGCAAAUUGAAGUAAACAGGAGACUGAGGAACUGAUUGUGUACCUGUGCUUUCUUGUCACCAUUAUAUUGACAUGCCUGGACCAACCUGCCCAAGGAAUGUGAAAAUGUGGAAUAGAAUUGAGUCUUCAAGCCCAAGCCACCAGUGCUCCCAGCCAACCACAAUCGCAUGAGAAAACAGAAAGAAGUAAGCCAAGACAUGUCCAAACAAUCAGAUCUGUUCCGUUGACCUGUGGGCUAGUGAAAAAUGGCAAAUGAUUAUUCCUUUAA